rnacentral:rRNA from 1 species
AUUGAACGCUGGCGGCAGGCCUAACACAUGCAGGUCGAGCGGAUGAAGGGAGCUUGCUCCUGGAUUCAGCGGCGGACGGGUGAGUAAUGCCUAGGAAUCUGCCUGGUAGUGGGGGAUAACGUCCGGAAACGGGCGCUAAUACCGCAUACGUCCUGAGGGAGAAAGUGGGGGAUCUUCGGACCUCACGCUAUCAGAUGAGCCUAGGUCGGAUUAGCUAGUUGGUGGGGUAAAGGCCUACCAAGGCGACGAUCCGUAACUGGUCUGAGAGGAUGAUCUGUCACACUGGAACUGAGACACGGUCCAGACUCCUACGGGAGGCAGCAGUGGGGAAUAUUGGACAAUGGGCGAAAGCCUGAUCCAGCCAUGCCGCGUGUGUGAAGAAGGUCUUCGGAUUGUAAAGCACUUUAAGUUGGGAGGAAGGGCAGUAAGUUAAUACCUUGCUGUUUUGACGUUACCAACAGAAUAAGCACCGGCUAACUUCGUG